rnacentral:rRNA from 1 species
UGGGGAAUAUUGCACAAUGGGCGAAAGCCUGAUGCAGCAACGCCGCGUGCGGGAUGACGGCCUUCGGGUUGUAAACCGCUUUCAGCAGGGACGAAGGUUUUCUGACGGUACCUGCAGAAGAAGCACCGGCUAACUACGUGCCAGCAGCCGCGGUGAUACGUAGGGUGCGAGCGUUGUCCGGAAUUAUUGGGCGUAAAGAGCUUGUAGGCGGUCCGUUGCGUCGGAAGUGAAAACUCAGGGCUUAACCCUGAGCCUGCUUUCGAUACGGGCGGACUUGAGGGAUGUAGGGGAGAACGGAAUUCCUGGUGGAGCGGUGGAAUGCGCAGAUAUCAGGAGGAACACCAGUGGCGAAGGCGGUUCUCUGGACAUUUCCUGACGCUGAGAAGCGAAAGCGUGGGGAGCAAACAGGCUUAGAUACCCUGGUAGUCCACGCCGUAAACGGUGGGCACUAGGUGUGGGACCCAUUCCACGGGUUCCGUGCCGUAGCUAACGCAUUAAGUGCCCCGCCUGGGGAGUACGGCCGCAAGGCUAAAACUCAAAUGAAUUGACGGGGUCAUGAGCUGUUU